UAAGGCAGCUACACUAUCCUGCAAAUCAGAUCUCAGAAGCUAAACAGGGCUGGCCCUGGUUAGUACUUGGUAGGAGACCUCUAUGGAAGAUCAGGGGCUGUUAGAC
rnacentral:rRNA from 12 species